CGUUGAAACACCGGUUCCUGUACAAUCACCGAAGUUAAGCAACGUCAAGUUUAGUCACUUCCUCGAUGGGUGACCGCUUGCGAAUACCAUGUGCUGUAAG